rnacentral:tRNA from 1 species
GGGGGUGUAGCUCAGUGGUAGAGCACAUGCUUAGCAGGCAUGAGGUUCUGGGUUCAAUACCCAGUACCUCCA